AAGAGUGCGGUGAUGAAGCAAUUAUUUGUGGACUAGAGUUUCUGACUCUGGGUUUUACCCAGAAGUUGAAGACUAACCCUUGGCUGUCUGAGUAUUCUU
rfam:Corchorus olitorius cultivar O-4 contig09968, whole genome shotgun sequence.